AGGAACCAUCUGACAUGUCCCCACCCUCACUGUACUGAGGAAGGCAGAUGCUGAAGUAAUGUUGGGAUUCAGACUGCAUUUUCUGCCUUAUUCUUGCUGCUGCAGCAUCAUAACAGAUGGACUAAAGCUUUCAAGGAAGCUGAACUGAAUUUGGAGAGUUAAUAGACGUAGGCUCUGCACAGCAGCAAAUGUUCUCCCAUAAAUAACAAGAUUCUGCUACUACUUCAGAUUUUUCUCUAUUUUCUGAGAGUUCAGUUUAUGGGAAAACUGGCUACAACCCAAAUUUAUAACUUUUCUAAAUAUUAAUAGCAUUACUCUUGUUUUUAAUUGUGUUAUUCAGUUGUUCAGUAGUCUUGCCAAUACUGCUUGUCUGCAUUAGCAGAGAGUUUAAGAAAUAUCACUGUAGUUAUUAUCUAUCUGUAACGUGGGAAUGGGCCAACAGCAGGAGUUCUGCAGCAGCACAUUGGAUCACAGUGGGAAAAAGAGCACCAGGGUUAGGAGGUGGCUAAAACAGGGACAGAACCAAGAGAUUUACUGGUGUCUCACUUUUGCUUAUCUCUGUGGGACUACUCUAUCAAGCUGCACAGGCUUUGUUUACAAGAACCUUUCCUUAGAAAAGCUAAAGGGUACCAAAGGGAUGCACAAAAGCUCGACACCUUUGAAAAUCUGACUGGAUUUCUGCUGUACAUAUGAAAUCAAUUACUUACAAUUCCAUUUAAGCACUUGCAUUAAAUCUGAUAUGAAAGAAGCUAGUUAAUGCAUAAAUGCUGAGAAAUAUAUACAAUUUAAUAAAGUUACUCCUUGGUAUCUAAGUUUCCCAUUGUUUGAGGUAGUAGCUUUAUUCAGAUGGAACCUAAUAUGUAUUUUUUUAAUUUAACAUUUAAUUUAAAUUUAUUGUGUGAGAGAGUAUAUUUGAAUUGCUGUAAGUGCAUUUUUUCUUCAACUCAGUGCUCAGGAUACAUACACAAAACAGUCAAACUUACGCUACUUACUUUUAAAAUACAAUUUACUCUAGUAUUUUUAGAUGUUCUGAAUAUUUAUAAGGCUUUUUUGAGAUAGAUGAAGCAGUCCUCGUGUGGGUUUAAAACAUAGAUACUUGCAGAAAGUAAGUCAUAAGUUAAAAAGUACAUUAACAAAUGUUGUUCCUAUCUUUUUUUUCUUAAUGGCUGCCACAGAAGCAUUUUUAAUGUGCUCUAUUUGUUCUUUUAGCUUUUAGUAGCGACGUUACUCUCUGUAACUAUAUAUAUAUAUACACUCUCUUUAACAUAUGUAAUUUACAGCAAAGAUUAAAUGACAACAAGAUGCAUUAUGGAUUUACU
rnacentral:lncRNA from 7 species